rnacentral:rRNA from 1 species
GUGGGGAAUUUUGGACAAUGGGCGCAAGCCUGAUCCAGCAAUGCCGCGUGCAGGAAGAAGGCCUUCGGGUUGUAAACUGCUUUUGUACGGAACGAAACGGUCCUGGCUAAUACCUGGGGCUAAUGACGGUACCGUAAGAAUAAGCACCGGCUAACUACGUGCCAGCAGCCGCGGUAAUACGUAGGGUGCGAGCGUUAAUCGGAAUUACUGGGCGUAAAGCGUGCGCAGGCGGUUGUGUAAGACAGGCGUGAAAUCCCCGGGCUCAACCUGGGAAUUGCGCUUGUGACUGCAAGGCUGGAGUGCGGCAGAGGGGGAUGGAAUUCCGCGUGUAGCAGUGAAAUGCGUAGAUAUGCGGAGGAACACCGAUGGCGAAGGCAAUCCCCUGGGCCUGCACUGACGCUCAUGCACGAAAGCGUGGGGAGCAAACAGGAUUAGAAACCCCGGUAGUCC